UACGGAGGGGGCUAGCGUUGUUCGGAAUUACUGGGCGUAAAGCGCGCGUAGGCGGCUUUGUAAGUUAGAGGUGAAAGCCCGGAGCUUCAACUUCGGAAUUGCCUUUAAGACUGCAUCGCUUGAAUCAUGGAGAGGUCAGUGGAAUUCCGAGUGUAGAGGUGAAAUUCGUAGAUAUUCGGAAGAAACACCAGUGGCGAAGGCGACUGACUGGGACAUGUAUU
rnacentral:rRNA from 1 species